rnacentral:rRNA from 1 species
UAGGGAAUCUUCGGCAAUGGGGGGAACCCUGACCGAGCAACGCCGCGUGAGUGAAGAAGGUUUUCGGAUCGUAAAGCUCUGUUGUUAAGGAAGAACGAGUGUGAGAAUGGAAAGUUCAUGCUGUGACGGUACUUAACCAGAAAGGGACGGCUAACUACGUGCCAGCAGCCGCGGUAAUACGUAGGUCCCGAGCGUUGUCCGGAUUUAUUGGGCGUAAAGCGAGCGCAGGCGGUUAGAAAAGUCUGAAGUGAAAGGCAGUGGCUCAACCAUUGUAGGCUUUGGAAACUGUUUAACUUGAGUGCAGAAGGGGAGAGUGGAAUUCCAUGUGUAGCGGUGAAAUGCGUAGAUAUAUGGAGGAACACCGGUGGCGAAAGCGGCUCUCUGGUCUGUAACUGACGCUGAGGCUCGAAAGCGUGGGGAGCGGACAGG